UACGUAGGUGGCAAGCGUUAUCCGGAAUCAUUGGGCGUAAAGCGCGCGCAGGCGGAUUAAUAAGUCAGGUGUGAAAUCUCGAGGCUCAACCUCGAAACUGCGCCUGAAACUAUUAGUCUAGAGUGUUGGAGGGGGUAGGGGAAUUUCACGUGUAGGGGUAAAAUCCGUAGAGAUGUGAAGGAACACCGGAGGCGAAGGCGCCUACCUGGACAACUACUGACGCUGAGGCGCGAAAGCGUGGGGAGCAAACAGG
rnacentral:rRNA from 1 species